CCGAAUCCACAAAUUUUAUCCGAUUAAAAUGGAAUGAAAUAGAAACCAACAACAAACUUAUAUUUACAAUAGAAUGUUUAUACCAUUUAUAAUCUACAAUAAAUAAAAUUAAUGAUCCAAACUAAUCAACAAAAUCCAAUCAUAAUUGAAACUAAUGGCUAGUAAUAAUCAUUUAGAAAUGACAUAUUAUAUAAUCCAUUCCAAUAACUUAUAUUGUAAACACAUGAUUCACAUAACUAAACAACCAGAAGAAAGAAAAUGGCAAUGCACCUAUUUCAUUUUCGCUAAUUUCUGUUCAGUAUGACAAAUAUGCAUCCAACCAAAAAGUCUAGAAAUAAACACAUGAUUCACAUAACUAAACAACCAGAAGAAAGAAAAUGGCAAUGCACCUAUUUCAUUUUCGCUAAUUUCUGUUCAGUAUGACAAAUAUGCAUCCAACCAAAAAGUCUAGAAUAUAUUACGCUUCUACAAUUCCCAGGUGCCAACAAGCUUAAUGUUCAGACAACAUAAAACUAAACCUCAUUCAAAUAAUACUUGAGGCAUAACAAAAGCCAAAACUCCCUCAAAGUAGUACACCUUCUAUAAACCAAAAAUAAUAAGAUAUUAACAUCAGUUUUAACAAGACACCUAGCAUAUUCAAAACAAUUUUUAGCAUGAUAUAUUCUUUACAUAUCAACAAAAUUAAGGAAAUAAUCUCAAAAUUAUCAGUAUCAAAUUCAAAUGGUUAUCACUAAUUGCUUACUUCAGAGAGAAAACAUGAUUCAGAAUGCUACCGAAACUUUGUGUAGCCGGCACGAAUUAAACACAUCAACAACCAAUUGACCAAACCGACACAUCCUGCCAUGUUACCCUUGUACACGAAGCUUCACACACGGUUCUGAUGAACUCCAAAUGGUGCUCCUUCA
rnacentral:lncRNA from 1 species